rnacentral:rRNA from 1 species
CCUUAAGUGGAGGAUAAUCUCGGGAAAUUGAGGAUAAUACUCCAUAGAUCAUGGGAUCUGGAAUGACCCAUGGUCCAAAGUUCCGGCGCUUAAGGAUCGCUCUGCGGCCUAUCAGGUAGUAGUGGGUGUAAAGUACCCCCUAGCCUACGACGGGUAUGGGCCUUGAGAGAGGGAGCCCAGAGUUGGAUUCUGAGACACGAAUCCAGGCCCUACGGGGCGCAGCAGUCGCGAAAACUUCACACUGGGGGCAACCCCGAUGAGGGAAAUCCUAGUGCUAGGACAUUUGUUCUAGCUUUUCUCAAGCGUAGAUAACUUGAGAAAUAAGGGCUGGGUAAGACGGGUGCCAGCCGCCGCGGUAAUACCUGCAGCCCAAGUGGUGGUCGAUUUUAUUGAGUCUAAAACGUUCGUAGCCGGUUUGGUAAAUCUUUGGGUAAAUCGGGAGGCUCAACUUUCCGACUUCCGAAGAGACUGUCAAACUUGGGACCGGGAGAGGCUAGAGGUACUUCUGGGGUAGGGGUAAAAUCCUGUAAUCCUAGAAGGACCACCGGUGGCGAAGGCGUCUAGCUAGAACGGAUCCGACGGUGAGGGACGAAGCCCUGGGUCGCAAACGGGAUUAGAUACCCCGGUAGUCCAGGGUGUAAACGCUGCCGACUUGGUGUUGGAGGCCCUUCGGGGGCAUUCAGUGCCGGAGAGAAGUUGUUAAGUCGGCUACUUGGGGAGUACGUCCGCAAGGAUGAAACUUAAAGGAAUUGGCGGGGGAGCACCGCAACGGGAGGAGCGUGCGGUUUAAUUGGAUUCAACACCGGAAAACUCACCAAGGGCGACUAUCACAUGAAAGCCAGGCUAACGACCUUGCUUGAUUCUUAGAGAGGUGGUGCAUGGCCGUCGUCAGUUCGUACCGUAAGGCGUUCUCUUAAGUGAGAUAACGAACGAGACCCUCAUCUAUAAUUGCUACUUCACCCUCCGGGGUGGAGGCACAUUAUCGAGACCGCUGGCGCUAAGUCAGAGGAAGGAGAGGUCAACGGUAGGUCAGUAUGCCCCGAAUCUCUUGGGCUACACGCGCGCUACAAAGGGCGGGACAAUGGGCUACAACGUCGAAAGGCGAAGUCAAUCUCGAAACCCGUCCGUAGUUCGGAUUGAGGCUUGUAACUCAGCCUCAUGAAGCUGGAUUCCGUAGUAAU